UCCAGAGGUGGCAAGCGUUGUUCGGAAUUACUGGGCGUAAAGGGCGCGUAGGCGGCCAUCUAAGUCAGACGUGAAAUCCCCCGGCUUAACCUGGGAACUGCGUCUGAUACUGGACGGCUUGAGUAUGGGAGAGGGAUGUAGAAUUCCAGGUGUAGCGGUGAAAUGCGUAGAUAUCUGGAGGAAUACCGGUGGCGAAGGCGGCAUCCUGGACCAUUACUGACGCUGAGGCGCGAAAGCUAGGGGAGCAAACGGG
rnacentral:rRNA from 1 species